rnacentral:rRNA from 1 species
UACGAAGGGGGCUAGCGUUGCUCGGAAUUACUGGGCGUAAAGGGCGCGUAGGCGGCUCUGUUAGUCAGGCGUGAAAGUCCUGGGCUCAACCUGGGAACUGCGCUUGAUACGGCAGGGGCUAGAGGAUGGAAGAGGGUCGCGGAAUUCCCAGUGUAGAGGUGAAAUUCGUAGAUAUUGGGAAGAACACCGGUGGCGAAGGCGGCGACCUGGUCCAUUACUGACGCUGAGGCGCGACGCGUGGGGAGCAAACAGG